rnacentral:rRNA from 1 species
UGGGGAAUAUUGGACAAUGGGCGCAAGCCUGAUCCAGCAAUACCGCGUGUGUGAAGAAGGCCCGAGGGUUGUAAAGCACUUUCAGCGGGGAGGAAAAAGGCGGGCCUAACACGCCCGCCCUUGACAUUACCCGCACAAGAAGCACCGGCUAACUUCGUGCCAGCAGCCGCGGUAAUACGAAGGGGGCUAGCGUUGUUCGGAUUUACUGGGCGUAAAGCGCACGUAGGCGGACUUUUAAGUCAGGGGUGAAAUCCCGGGGCUCAACCCCGGAACUGCCUUUGAUACUGGAAGUCUUGAGUCCGGAAGAGGUUAGUGGAAUUCCCAGUGUAGAGGUGAAAUUCGUAGAUAUUGGGAAGAACACCAGUGGCGAAGGCGGCUAACUGGUCCGGUACUGACGCUGAGGUGCGAAAGCGUGGGGAGCAAACAGGAUUAGAUACCCUAGUAGUCCCUGAGCGGGCUGGCAAGGCGCAU